GAGGGUGUAGCUCAGUGGUAAAGCACAUGCCUAGCAUGCACAAGGUCCUGGGUUCAAUCCCCCGUACCUCUA
rnacentral:tRNA from 1 species